AUGAACAAUUGAUCCUGUUGGUGUCAGUUUUUGUUUUCGGGGUAGCAGGGUCCCGCCGAAGACCUUGCGACUGGGCUUUCUGAGCACCCCGGCUGUCACCUUUCCUUUCAAAGGUCUUGGUGCCCAUGCCAAUUCCUGGUGACAGUAACCCAGAUUCCCUCUCCAGUAACAGCAUUCGGUUGGUCUUGAACUCAAGAGUGCAGGUUUGAGUCCUCGAUCAUAUACGUCUAGUCGAAAGGAUCAUCAACUAACUCACUGGCUACUCGUCCUCUACUACCAGUUUUGCAUGUUGUUGAAGUCCUUUUGACUGAUCCGAAUUUGAGGAGAGGGACGAAGAAGAAGACGUCAAUACCAACGCCCAACAUCCUCUUCCAAGAUGCUAUUGAGUGUAAGAAAGAUUGGUACAAGAUAUCCAAAGCGUGCUAUUGAUUACCUUUUUUGAGAAUCGCCCUUACCCACCUGUAGCAAAGAGCAUCUGAAAGCUUAUUUGCGCGGGGGCACCAUACUUGGUCAUAUCUCUCACGAAGUUUCAAGCAGUCACCCCCCUAGUUUUCUCAAGUCGCCAAAUUCAAGAUCCGGACGUUUUGCAUCAACAUUGACCUCACUCCCAGGAAGCCGGCUCUUCUCUUCCCAUCCAAGCUUUUGAACCCACCCAUUUGCCGAUGUUGCCGUCACAGUGGAUUUUAAGUGUAGUGUUUCCCUUGAAGGUCGUGCCCGUCGAGCCCCCUUAACAGUAUUUCCAAUAGUCACCUCGGACACCUCCAUAGAGAGAGACACACUUUUGAAACGAUUCAAACAAAGUGCUAGUGAUGUGAUCAGUGCCGUAGUGAACCAACCCAAGAAUUUCGAUGACGACACGACAACCUCAGCCAUGUUCAACUCUGGUCGUGAUCCUCCCUCUGGCGAUCCAAUACACCCAUGUGCUCUCUCGCUUCACUCCGGACGAUCACCCUGUUUCUACAACUCUUAUACUACUAUUUCAUCUACUACAUACAAUAACAGCACCAAGUCCUGUAGCCAAGUUAGCCUCAUCCUCGUCAUGAACCAAUCCUCAGCAUCUGAACCCAUAUGCCAAGUCAGGAGCUGAAGAGAAGUGCUUUGUGUUCGUCUAGUUCCUAAUCAUCGUCAACGUCUUUGUCAUGCAUCUCAUCUUUCUCGUUUACAUUUAUUAGUAGAUCCUUCGACAACGUCAACUCACGCGAAUGUUUAUUAUAUACAUACAUACACACUAUGAAUGAACCGGAGCACCUGAACGCUUCGCAUCAACUUCACACCCUACCAAGCGAAACCCCGACUAGCGACUGAAGGAUCUCCUUCUCAGGGAACAAUCCAUGGUGGGAGUGGACACACUGAUGGGACGUCAAUCCUGUCCCCAGUGUCUUGGUCGCCUGCGUUUCCAUCCCAAGGAUGAAGACAAGGAGACCUCUCCCAAGACAACGAUUCGGGCACGAAACCACGCCUUAGCUUCCAUAGGCGUUUCCCUGUUAGGAAAUCAGAAGACUUCACGUCAGGCAUAUGUUUGAAUUAUAUUCUGGGCAACUGGACGUCCGACCUUGAAUUGGCCUGAGAGGUCUCAUCUUCAACCACACAAUGAUGCUGUCUCUAGCAUCCUUGGCAAACUUGGGGAUGAAUCUUGCAGAGGUCAGAGUCUAACUCUCUCUCUCUCUCUAUCCUGUUCGUAGAAAUAGUAGAAAAAAAAUCAUCUUGCCGUUUGCUCAUCUAAAAUUCUACUCUACAUAUUAAUCAUCAAUCUCAACUCGAAUGUUGCUAAAAUUAGAGUUCCAGAAACCAGAAGAAGUCCAGUGACCAGAGGGACACGUCCAUAAAGGGUAUGAACACAUGUGUUUUGAGGUCUAUCCAAGCAUCGAGAUCACCUAGAGCGAGGAAAACAACAACAAAAGCAAGAGUCAGGGUAAUGAGGAAGCCCUUGUGACCCAAGAUUUGCAUUCCCUUCACUCUCGAUCUAGCAAUGAAUCCUAGAAAAUCAAUUCCGCUCAUCGUGAAAUAGUAGUGACACGCAGAUCUACCUUCGAAUCGGAUCCAAGCAUCUCCGGUUUUCAUGAUGUGCUCAUUGCCAGUGAAUGAGUGAUUUUCUGCUUGAAGGACCUUGGUCUCAUAUUGAUUUGGAAGCCAGUGACUGCGUGCAUGCUCGUUCUUUGGAGUUUCACAAGCAGGCCAUAUUUUUGCUUUCAUCCCGACCUUUCUUUCACAAUACAAUAGAGAGGGUCAGUAGUCAGUCAACUCACACUCCCUGUGCCAUGUGCGGUAGAAGAGACUACAACCGAUCCAACUACGUGCUCCUUCUCCCUAUACUACUUGUUUGCCAACACCUAAUAUUAUAAUUACUAUUACUACUACAGUUAGAACCACUGCUACUAUGACGACUACUUUAACAACUACCACUGUCCAACAGAACUACUGCUCCUCCAUUUACUCAUUCUCCUCCUCUUGUUAUAUCCACCUUUUGUCAUUGCAACAUCGUCGUCAUCAUCAUCCUCCUCCUAAGUGUACAAAUGUACAUUAUUUAUGCACUGUUUUCUGCAACUGAACGCAGAAGUUCUCCAGUUAAGAUGGAACCGUUUUUUCUUGUCAUAGUUCAUAAUCGAGUCAUUUUCUAUCCUUCGUAUUCCUAUUUAUGAAGAAGCACUUUGACAAGUUUUGAUCAUAGUGGAUGAGGAAUCAAUGAGAAAACAGAGAGAGAAAGAAAGAGCGAGCGAAGAUGUGAAGAAAGUGAAAGAGAGAGAAGAAAAGCUGGAGCCUUUUAUUGCAUCGGGUGGAUACUUGAUGGAAGAAGACGGAGAAGAAGAAAAAGAAGAGAACAGAGAGGAAGAAGAUUCAUUCAUAUUGAAAACCCUUAUUGUGAGAAACAUUUGUCAAACAAGUGUGAUCUAAUUGAGAAGAGUUGAAGAUUAUCGCCCUACCCAAAUCUAGCAUUGAUUGGCGCUUUUCCCACGUUGUGGCUCAGUACGCUCAUCAGCAUCCUUGGAUGGUCGUUCUUUGGAACCACUGGACGUCUACGGGCCUCCUUUGAGAUGCAUCUUGUUCUUCUUUACCAGCCUUGCUCAUGUUUGAUGUUGGUCAACAUUUUUGGAACCAAACUGUCUUGAAAUGGCCCCAUCCGGUGGCAUCUCAAGAAUCAGCCUCAAAAACGUCGUCACUAUUGGCCUGUAAAAUUGGAAAGAAGUAAACAUGUUCCAAAGUCUCGCUACAACCAUCCUCUCCUCCCCAAAAAGCAGCCAACUUCUUCCUAAAAGACGACAAAAAGAUGGAGUGGAAAAUAUGAUGUCCAAUUCUGGUCAACUGAACGACUACAAACCUUUUGACAAAGGGCAACUGAAAGCCCGCCUCCAGCUGGUAUGAGACACGCUCGGUAGUAAGCUGUGUCGCCGUCAAACGAUGAAUCUAGUGGGACCUCAUGAAUGCCGUAAUACACUCAGGGAAAUAGGGCGAUGGGAGAGAUCGUGCUGGCUCAGCUGGAUAGACUGACAUUCAUACUUCUUCUGUCCCUCUCAAGAAGAUGGAUCUCAUUGCUUCAACCAUGUCUUUGAUCCAAUAACCCCCCCUAGCAUUCCCACCCUGUUCAUCCUUGAGCGGGAGGCCAAAAUGAUUGAGGACGGUCCAACCACCAGCAAUCCAUCCCCCGUGCUUGCCACGCCAUGGCGAGCAGAGACACGGGAGGCCUCAGAGCCCUCAACAUUUUGGAUGGCCACGCAUCUUCUCCACAACUGUGUGCUGACCAUGCCUGUUGCACGGCACUCCCCAUUAGCUCCCACAAGAUGACCCCUCUCCAUUCUGUCGCCCAGCUAGCGGUGUAGGUCCUCGUUUUGGGACUGCACAUUCAAGAUACAGAGGCACACACAGCGCGUGUGUUUCCCUGUAUGAAAUGGUGUCAUCAUGGUUACCACCUGACUUAGAAGCUCUUAUUGAAGAAGUCCAAACUUAUCCGAUGACAAAUUGGAUGCUUCACCCAUGAAGGACUGACUUCUUGGCACCAUGGGCAUUGCUUGACCAGUCUGCCAUGCCUUUGGAAGUCUCAUCAACGCGAGCAGCCUGGCUCACGCUGGGCCUUGAGUCACCGCCCAAGGGCAGUUUUCUUCUGCUUGGUAUUUAACUGUACGAGAUGUCCACUCAAGCAGUGGCAAUGCAAGGAACGGUGGGCGCAAUCUUCAACCAACCAUCUAACAAUUUCAACAGCAACUUUAAUCUUCGUGACCAUGAACAAGUAACUGAAGGGAGUAGUAGUACCUAUACGUUACAUUCUCAAAAGCUCAACAACCAAAUUGAAAACAAGCAAAAACAUAAAAAAGCAAGUGGCACUUUUGACAGAGCAACAGAAAGCUCGCCCUAGAAGCAGACCAUUGUCAGAGCCAAAAAAAAGCAAAACAAAAAUGAAUGAAAACAGCCAAACGCUCAUGGGAUCGAUUCAAUGACUCAAUCAAUCCUGUUUUGCCCACAUGCAUGAUGAGAAGAAGUCAUUGCAGGGGAUUGAAAUAACUCCUUUUUUUGCCGGGGUUAACCGAGGGUUGUCCCCCAAAACUUGUCCCUCCUCUCUUUAGAGAUAGGCUUCGCUUGAGGCAAUUGUGACUUUAAACCUUAACGACCCUCCCCCGUGAAGGAAUUUUCUAAAUCAGAUUUCUUGUUGGAACCACCGUGUUCGCACACCCCAGUGAGUAAUUGUGUAUGCCUUGAUUUUUGCAUGUGAGUUUGAGUCUUCAAAGACUGUUUUCCUAUUGCUAUUAGUGUAUUAUCAUUUAGCAACAACAACAACAUCAACAACAACAACAACUACUACUUCUACCACUACUACAUCAACAACAACAACUACUACUAUUACUACUACUACAAGAACUACUACUACUACUACAACUUGAUCGAGCAUCAGACCGCUUGACCAAUAACUCCUGAAAAGUGUCCACAAGUUUCAUCCUACUGCAACAUACUGUGAAGUCAGCAUAUUUGAGAAACGUAAAAAAAUAAUAACGCAAUCUUUUUGAGAGCAUCAGUACGCUCGAAACCAGUCCAAGGAAUCGAAUAAUCAAUCCCCUUCUUCAGUUCAUGAUGGCCAAGGAGCAGUUGGUUAGAUUUAAGAGAACCAAAUAAAAAAAAUCACUGAAACCCCCAAAAUAGCUACCACCUGAAACGAAGAACCUUUAAUAUCGAAAUACGAAGAGCCCCCAUUGAUUCCCAAAAAUGAAUGGAAAAGCCAACCCUAGCUGUCAAAUGAGACCAGCAGUUUGAACCCAAAUUUGCUCUUUUGCCGAACUUUGCUUCUUUCGGACCAUGUCCUGUCUCUGGGGCCUUUGUGCAACAUUGGAACAUCUUUUCCAAGCAUCUGAAGAUCCUUCCCAUCCUAAACUGUUUGUCCUGGAAGGGUCCUGAUCUCGCAUCCCGGGAUUUUUUUUUGUAUUUGAUCACUGAAGCCUCCAGGAACAAUGUUGAUUUGUGGAUCUUCCUCCAUCAAUGCAUUUUUCUCAUUUCCAAUUACCCUUAACAUCCCCCAAACUAUCCAGAGACAUGAUUCCAAAACCCAAGUUCAAUCCCACUCGGCAAAUCCCACUGGCAUAAAAACGCAAGGUUUGAUGUUCCGUAUAGAUCAUACACUAUACAGUACAAUUGCAGGCAUAACCAGCAUCUCUAUAUAUCUAAACCUCUUACGCAAGAAGAGUAUAAAACAGAUAACAGAACAACCCAAGAAAACCACCGUGGAUCGGUGAAGAUCCACUCCAAAAAAAUGAAAUGACAAAAACCCUACAAAAGAAAGAAAAACAAGUUUGUUCAAUUUUGGCCUCUAAAUUCUUGAAAUAAACACCUUCCAAUUCGGCAUUAAAA